ACAAAGUUUUGGUCCUAAACUUACCGUUGUUUUUAACCAAAAUUACACAUGCAAGCCUCCACAUACCAGUGAAAAUGCCCAUACAUUCCUAAACAGAAAAACGGAGCGGGCAUCAGGAUCAACAAAUUUUAGCCAAUAACGCCUUGCUACGCCACACCCACACGGGCCCACAGCAGUGAUUAACAUUAACACAUAAGCGAAAGCUUGACCUAGUUAUGGUUAAUAUGGAUCGGUAAAUUUCGUGCCAGCCACCGCGGUUAUACGAAAGAUUCUAAACAAUGGCAUUCGGCGUAAAGCGUGACUAGAUGCUGUCAAAAAAUUAAAGGAAAACCACCGUCAGGCCGUAAAACGCUACCACGAACUGGAAUCCCACCAACAAAUGCCUUUAAAUAAAAGACUGUUUUACCUCACGAAAGCUAAGAAACAAACUGGGAUUAGAUACCCCACUAUGCUUAGCCAUAAACAUAGAUAAUAUAAACACAAUAUUAUCCGCCAGAGAACUACAAGCAAAAAACUCGAAACUCCAAGGACUUGGCGGUGCUCCACAUCAACCUAGAGGAGCCUGUCCUAUAAUCGAUACUCCACGUUAAACCUUACCAUCCCUAGCAAAUCAGCCUAUAUACCGCCGUCGUCAGCCUACCUUAUGAAAGAAACAUAGUAGGCAAAACAGUUAUUAACUAACACGUCAGGUCAAGGUGUAGCACAUGGGACGGAAGAGAUGGGCUACAUUUUCUGAAACAGAAAACACGAACGGUCAAAUGAAACUUAAACCCAAAGGCGGAUUUAGCAGUAAGAUAAACAAGAAAAAUUAUCUUAAACUAGCUCUGGAGCGCGCACACACCGC
rnacentral:ncRNA from 1 species